rnacentral:rRNA from 1 species
CCGUAGGUGACCUGCGGAAGGAUCUUA